UGCCAGCAGUCGCGGUUAGACCAAGGAGUUGAGUCAUAUAGAUAUUAUGGUUAAAAGAUAGUUAGGUGAAGGAAAGGUGAGGUUGUUUAAUGUAGUGCAUAGAGGUAAAAUUUAAGUGUGACUAUAUAAUUUUAAAGCAACUUAAUGAGCUGAGUCUAUGAAAUCCUUGAGGGAAACUGGGAUUAGGUACCCCAUUAUUCUUGGGUGUAAAUAGAGAAGAUCUACCAGAGUACUAUGAAUGAUUAAAAAUUUAAAACUCAAAGAACUUGGCGGUGUUUUAGACCAUUUAGGGGAACUUGUCUCGUAAUCGACAGUCCGCGUUGUACCUGACCUUUUUUUGUUUUCAGUUUGUAUACCGUUGUCGUCAGGUAACUUUUUAGAAGGCAGAAGUUGGCUAUGGAAAUAUAAUGAUUUAGUACGUCAAAUCAAGGUGCAGCUAAUAAAAAGGGGAGGAUGAGUUACAGUUAUAUAGUUAUAAUUACGGAUAUCUAUAUGAAAGUGUGGAUAAUGAAGGAGGACUUGAAAGUAAAUUGAUUUAUAGAAGCAGUUUGAAUAAGGCUCUGAAACGUGUACACAUCGCCCGCCGCUC
rnacentral:rRNA from 1 species